rnacentral:rRNA from 1 species
UACGUAGGGGGCUAGCGUUGUCCGGAAUCAUUGGGCGUAAAGAGCGUGUAGGCGGUCCGGUAAGUCCGCUGUGAAAGUCCAGGGCUCAACCCUGGGAUGCCGGUCGAUACUGCCGGACUAGAGUUCGGAAGAGGCGAGUGGAAUUCCCGGUGUAGCGGUGAAAUGCGCAGAUAUCGGGAGGAACACCUAUGGCGAAGGCAGCUCGCUGGGACGUUACUGACGCUGAGACGCGAAAGCGUGGGGAGCAAGCAGG